UGGAAACUUUGUCACAGAGUUGAUGUGAGCUAGUUCACUGUGAACACUGGCUGUACCCCAUUCCCAUAUUGCUCUUCCCACUUUUUAACCUCAACUGCCCUCAGUCUUCAGCCCUCUGAGUGACCUUUUCUUACAGCACAGCAUGGUGCUCUGACCUACUUCAGCUCCUAACAACAGGCUUUCUGUUGCACAGCAUGUGAACCUGGGCAAGGAAAGGAUGGCUUAGAUUUUAUGAGGAUUGUGGACUACAGAGACAUUGCCCCCUGAACACACAGGAAGCUUGAUUCUUGGGUUGGUGGAAAUCUACAUUACCUCACAAAUGUACCAGCCAACAUCUGCCUAGCUGCUGCUGUACGUCCUUACCC
rnacentral:lncRNA from 12 species